ACGGCUCAGUAACACGUGGACAACCUACCCUGAGGUCGGGGAUAAACCCGGGAAACUGGGUAUAAUACCCGAUAGAUCUAGAUCGCUGGAAUGCUUUUAGGUCUAAAGUUCCGACGCCUCAGGAUGGGUCUGCGGCCUAUCAGGGUAGUAGUGGGUGUAAAGUACCUACUAGCCCACGACGGGUACGGGUUGUGAGAGCAAGAGCCCGGAGAUGGAUUCUGAGACACGAAUCCAGGCCCUACGGGGUGCAGCAGGCGCGAAACCUUUACAAUGCUGGCAACAGCGAUAAGGGGACCUCGAGUGCUACGAUACAAUCGUGGCUGUCUAGUUGCCUAAAAAGCAAUUGAUAGCAAGGGCCGGGCAAGACCGGUGCCAGCCGCCGCGGUAACACCGGCGGCUCGAGUGGUAACCGCUAUUAUUGGGUCUAAAGGGUCUGUAGCCGGCUUAGUUAGUCUCUUGAGAAAUCUGGCCGCUCAACGGUCAGGCGUUCAGGGGAUACUGCUAAAGCUCGAGACCGGGAGAGGUGAGAGGUACUUCAGGGGUAGGGGUGAAAUCUUGUAAUCCUUGAAGGACCACCAGUGGCGAAGGCGUCUCACCAGAACGGAUCUGACGGCAAGGGACGAAAGCUAGGGGCACGAACCGGAUUAGAUACCCGGGUAGUCCUAGCCGUAAACGAUACUCGCUAGGUGUCGGCCACGGUGCGACCGUGGUCGGUGCCGUAGGGAAGCCGUGAAGCGAGCCACCUGGGAAGUACGGCCGCAAGGCUGAAACUUAAAGGAAUUGGCGGGGGAAUCA
rnacentral:rRNA from 1 species